rnacentral:lncRNA from 1 species
GCCUCUUGGUUACAAGCAUGUACAUUAUGGCUCUCUCCUUGCCUGGAACUGGAUAUGAGAAAUGCUUGAAUUAAGAUCUGUGAAUUAUCUUAUUUUCUUGUCAGAAGGAUGCAGAUUGCCCAUACUUCAUAGCAGAGCAACAGGAGGGACUUAGGGACAAAAAGCUCAAAGGCAAGGAAGACUGAGGAAGCUAAGUUACUGGCCAUAUGUUUAAUAAAUAUAAGCUUAAUGGCAGUGAAUGUAUUAAUGUCAGCGAAGACAAGUCUAUGAAGUUAAACAGGCACAGAGAGGCUAAGAGUCUUGCCAAAGGCCACAGAGGAAGGAAGAGACUAAAUCUGGAACAAACUUUCUAUUCUCCAUUUCCAGAAGAAACCACUAAACCAUGCUUCCUCUUGUCAUGGAAGCUUAAAAUAUUUGAUCAAACUACGUUUAAAUAAGAAUUAAAAUGCCAUUUGUCCAUCACCUAAUGGCUCAAUUUGCUCCUGCCUUGGGUGUGCACACCCUGCUCUGGAACAGACCAGAGCUCUAAAGAAGUGACUGGAAGUUGUGAAUGUCAUUGUUAUGAAGCUUCAAAUUUGCUCUCCUCUUUAGGACACAGACAUGGCAUUAGAGAAGGGCAGAAAACUGCACUUGGCUGUGCAUAGAGAACACUAGAGACCUCUUGUGCAAGAGAGGGGACUAGGUUGCGUAGUGUAAUGAGAGAAGCAUGGGUUUUGAGACCGCUACAAUGUCUGUGUCUUCUUGGCCAACAUUUCAGUAAGAGUAGUAAGCAUAUCUCCACAAUAGGGUUAAGAGAACCAGUGUCUUCUGAAAAACACAUGAAAUCAUCGUAACCCUGCUAAGUCUGUGCUUUGCAAAAAUUAAAACUAAAACUAAUUUUCA